UGUUCUGUGGCUUAGUUUGUUAAUGCGCUGGAUUAGCAAUACGGAGUCUUGGGUUCGAAUCUCACCAAAACAA
rnacentral:tRNA from 1 species